GAUGAAGAACGCAGCGAAAUGCGAUAAGUAGUGUGAAUUGCAGACUUUAGUGAAUCAUCGAAUCUUUGAACGCACAUUGCGCCCCUUGGUAUUCCAUUGGGCAUGCCUGUUCGAGCGUCAUUAUAACCCCUCAAGCUCAGCUUGGUGUUGGGGCCUGCCGCACGGGCAGCCCUUAAAAUCAGUGGCGGUGCCAUCUGGCUCUAAGCGUAGUAAUUCUUCUCGCUAUAGAGUCCCGGUGGAUGCUUGCCAUUAACCCCCAAUUUUCUAUGGUUGACCUCGGAUCAGGUAGGGAUACCCGCUGAACUUAAGCAUAUCAAUAAGCGGAGGA
rnacentral:misc_RNA from 1 species